rnacentral:tRNA from 1 species
UCCUUGGUGGUCCAGUGGCUAAGACUCUGUGCUUGCAAGGCAGGGGGCCUGGGUUUGGUUCCUGGUCAGGGAA